rnacentral:rRNA from 1 species
UAGAACGCUGAAGGAGGAGCUUGCUCUUCUGGAUGAGUUGCGAACGGGUGAGUAACGCGUAGGUAACCUGCCUGGUAGCGGGGGAUAACUAUUGGAAACGAUAGCUAAUACCGCAUAACAGUAGAUGUUGCAUGACAUUUGCUUAAAAGGUGCAAUUGCAUCACUACCAGAUGGACCUGCGUUGUAUUAGCUAGUUGGUGGGGUAACGGCUCACCAAGGCGACGAUACAUAGCCGACCUGAGAGGGUGAUCGGCCACACUGGGACUGAGACACGGCCCAGACUCCUACGGGAGGCAGCAGUAGGGAAUCUUCGGCAAUGGGGGGAACCCUGACCGAGCAACGCCGCGUGAGUGAAGAAGGUUUUCGGAUCGUAAAGCUCUGUUGUAAGAGAAGAACGGGUGUGAGAGUGGAAAGUUCACACUGUGACGGUAUCUUACCAGAAAGGGACGGCUAACUACGUGCCAGCAGCCGCGGUAAUACGUAGGUCCCGAGCGUUGUCCGGAUUUAUUGGGCGUAAAGCGAGCGCAGGCGGUUAGAUAAGUCUGAAGUUAAAGGCUGUGGCUUAACCAUAGUAUGCUUUGGAAACUGUUUAACUUGAGUGCAGAAGGGGAGAGUGGAAUUCCAUGUGUAGCGGUGAAAUGCGUAGAUAUAUGGAGGAACACCGGUGGCGAAAGCGGCUCUCUGGUCUGUAACUGACGCUGAGGCUCGAAAGCGUGGGGAGCAAACAGGAUU